GAGCCGUUAGCUCAGCUGUGGUAGAGCACCGGCCUUUUAAGCCGGGGGCCGCGGGUUCGACUCCUGCACGGCUCACCA
rnacentral:tRNA from 2 species